rnacentral:rRNA from 1 species
AGAUUGAACGCUGGCGGCAUGCCUUACACAUGCAAGUCGAACGGCAGCACGGGAGCAAUCCUGGUGGCGAGUGGCGAACGGGUGAGUAAUACAUCGGAACGUGCCCAAUCGUGGGGGAUAACGCAGCGAAAGCUGUGCUAAUACCGCAUAAGAUCUACGGAUGAAAGCAGGGGAUCGCAAGACCUUGCGCGAAUGGAGCGGCCGAUGGCAGAUUAGGUAGUUGGUGAGGUAAAGGCUCACCAAGCCUUCGAUCUGUAGCUGGUCUGAGAGGACGACCAGCCACACUGGGACUGAGACACGGCCCAGGCU